rnacentral:rRNA from 1 species
UACGAAGGGAGCUAGCGUUGUUCGGAAUCACUGGGCGUAAAGCGCACGUAGGCGGAUGUGUCAGUCAGGGGUGAAACGUCCGAGCUCAACUUCGGAACUGCCUUUGAUACAGCACGUCUUGAGUCCGAUAGAGGUGGGUGGAAUUCCUAGUGUAGAGGUGAAAUUCGUAGAUAUUAGGAAGAACACCGGUGGCGAAGGCGGCCCACUGGAUCGGUACUGACGCUGAGGUGCGAAAGCGUGGGGAGCAAACAGG